rnacentral:rRNA from 1 species
AUUGAACGCUGGCGGCAGGCCUAACACAUGCAAGUCGAGCGAGCGGCGGACGGGUGAGUAAUGUAUGGGGACUGCCCGAUAGAGGGGGAUAACUACUGGAAACGGUGGCUAAUACCGCAUACUAUCGGAUAACCCAUAUGGGAGUAGCUAGUAGGUGGGGUAAAGGCUCACCUAGGCGACGAUCUCUAGCUGGUCUGAGAGGAUGACCAGACACACUGGGAAUGAGACACGGGCCAGACUCCUACGGAGGCAGAAGUGGGGAAGAUUGGACAAUGGGCGAAAGGCUGAUGGAGCCAUGCCGCGGGUGUUAAGAAGGCCUUAGGGUUGUAAAGUACUUUCAGCGGGGAGGCGUUACCCGCAGAAGAAGCACCGGCUAACUCCGUGCCAGCAGCCGCGGUAAUUC